GAGGUGGGAGAAUCGCUUGAACCAGGGAGGUGGAGGUUGCAGUGAGCCAACAUCAUACCACUGCACUCCAGCCUGAGUGACAGAGCAAGACCUUGUCU
rnacentral:miRNA from 1 species